ensembl:lncRNA
ACCCACUUUGAGAUUUCAUGAAUCACAAGUUGAAUUAAGGCUCUGAGUUCCAAACUCAUGUAAUGCAGCUGUGGUGAACCAUGCAGUUGAGCCUGUCUGUAUCCAAAACUACUGGUCUUUGAGAGUCUCCAGAGAGAGAGGAAGCAACUGCAGCUCAGCUUUGGGACGUAGACCCCAAUGGCAGCCAUUCUUGGAAGCUGCCUGCCACAUGGACGCUGGUACUGGAUGUGCAAGGCACAGAUAAUUAAGUGUGGUGUGGAUUUUUCUUUAAUAGCACUGUAUGUACAAAUACCAGUGAGUAAUUAUCAUGAUCAGCCUGAAUCAGUUGGGACUUGGUUCCACUCUGAGGAACAGAAAACCCAAAGCAACAAGGACAUCAACAAGAAAGAAGUUUCUUCUCCUCGCCCAUAAGCCAUACUUUGAAAUAAGCAAUACAAGGGCCUUAUUUGAUAAGUCCAUAAUCAUAAGGGGCCCAGGACCACUACCUGGAUUUUUUUUUUUUUUUGCCACACCCAAGGCAUAGGGAAGUUCCUGGGCCAGGGGUCGAGCCCACACUACAGCAGCAACCUGAACUGCUGCAGUGACAAUGCUAAAUCCUUAACCUGCUGCACCACCAAGGAACUCCUUGGCUUCCACUUCAUGCUACAAGAUGGGUUGCUGUGAGAACAAAGUGCUUUGGAAUUCCGUUGUUCAAAGGUCAGCCUCCUACCAUCCCCUCCUCCAAUUAUUUUGAAAACGUUAAUUGCCUGCAUUAAGUUUUUUUUUACUUAAAAAAACAUGUAGAUUGAUACAAUUUCAAUUGGCCCAAACUCAGCACCUAACCAGAGCUAGCAGCAAUGGAGGCUAAGAAAUACUCAUCUUUAUUCUAGAAAGCUAUGUAUCCAGCUAAAAACUGGAAGUUCUGUGAUUAAAGGAGUAUGGAGAAUGGAUAUCCAGGGAAAGUAGCAAUCUCUGACAUACCCACAAAUGUUUUACUAGUUGAUAAAUCUUGAGUAACUGUUUUUAUAUUCAAAGUAACUAUAAACCCCAUGGAGGACACAGGCCUUUUUCCAUUAGGAUGCAGAGGACAGAAUUUACCUUGCAGAACUCUGAAGGAUAUUUGAUAAAGAAACUUGCUCUCCUUGGAGUUAUAAAGAGAAAAGAAGCCGCUGAAAGACAACAAGUUGAAAAGAAAAUUUGCUAGAAAUGCUGUUACACUGAGAUUCAUUAAAACUAAUGUAGUCAAUGUUUAUAUAACACUUUUUAAAUUUCUUACAGUUACGCUCAUUAAUUCCUCACAAAAAAUUGUAGUCUGUGUUAUCAUCCUCAUUUGAGAAAAGAGAAAGCUGAAACUUAAAAAAUUUAAAUGAUUUACCCAAGUUUAAGAACAAUGGACUAAAACUGAGUGUUCUCAAGGUCUACAGUUCAGAAUCUCUGCUCUCUCUUCCCCUCCAGCACGCCUCCUUUCAUGGAGUUUGACAAAGCACACAUGUCUCCAAGUUGGAAGUAGACUGCAAUGACUCACAAAAUUCUGGGUGGGACCCUGGGGAGUUGAGUUAGGAGACACAGUGGAUCACUGAGGAAAAGACCUAGCCCUUUGUUACAAGAUUGCCUUUCUAUCAACCAAAGAAAACAUGCUGAAAGCUAAGUUAUUUUUUCUAAGUGAGUGUGCAGGCUGAGAAUUAUCCCAUGUUCUCUGUUUACUGAGACAUUUAGCUGCUGACCAUUUUUCUGCCUCAGUUUCCAUCAACAAUCCCUAGAUGGCUAGGACACAGAAGGACAAACACUGUGUGAUUGCACUCUUAGGUUGGAGCUAAAGUAGCCAAGUUCAUAGAAACAGAAAGUAGAGGAGUUCCCAUGUGGCUCAGCAGGUUAAGGACCUGGCGUGGUCUUCGUGAGGAUGCAGGUUCCAUCCCUGUCCUCACUCAGUGGGUUGAGGAUCCAGUGUUGCUGCAAGCUGUGGUAUGGGUCACAGAUGUGGCUAUGGUGUAGGCCAGCAGCUGCAGCUCUGAUUCAACCCCUAGCCUGGGAACUUCCAUAUGUCUCAGGUGUGCCUAUAAAAGAAAAGAAAAGAAAAAGAAAGAAAGGAGUUCCCAUGGCAGCUCAGCAGAAAUGAGCCUGACUAGCAUCUAUGAGGACCCAGGUCCAAUCCUUGGCCUCGAUCAGUGAGUUAAGGAUCCGGCAUUGCCAUGAGCUGUGGUGUAGAUCACAGACGUGGCUCAGAUCUGGCAUUGCUGUGUCUGCAGUUUAGGCCAGUGGCUACAGCUCUAAUUGGACCCCAAGCCUGGGAAUCUCCAUAUGCCACAGAUGGGCCCCCCCAAAAAAAGAAAGAAAGAAAAGGAAAGUCGAUGAUUACCAAGGGCUGGAGGUAGGAGGGAUUUGUUUUAAUGGGCAUACAGUUUCAAUUCUGGAAGACAAGGAAGUUCAAGAGAUCUGUUUUACAGCAACAUAAACAUACUUCACACUUUUGAACUGGACUCUUAAAAAUGAUUAAGACAGUACAUUUUAGGUGUUUUUUUAAUUGAAGCAUAGUUGAUGUACAAUAUUAGUUUCAGGUGUACAACAUAGUGAUUCAAAAUCUUUAUAGGUCAUGCUCCAUUUAUAGUUAUUAUGUAAUAUUGGCUAUAUUCUCUGUGCUGUGCAAUAUAUCCGUGUAAUUUAUUUACUUUUUUCUUUUUAGGGCCACUUCUGCAGC